GUCUCUGUAGUGCAAUUGUUAGAGCAUUUGGCUGCUCACCCAAAGGUUGGUGGUUCAAACCCACCCAGGGGUG
rnacentral:tRNA from 1 species